rnacentral:rRNA from 1 species
AUUGAACGCUGGCGGCAGGCCUAACACAUGCAAGUCGAGCGGAUGAAGGGAGCUUGCUCCUGGAUUCAGCGGCGGACGGGUGAGUAAUGCCUAGGAAUCUGCCUGGUAGUGGGGGAUAACGUCCGGAAACGGGCGCUAAUACCGCAUACGUCCUGAGGGAGAAAGUGGGGGAUCUUCGGACCUCACGCUAUCAGAUGAGCCUAGGUCGGAUUAGCUAGUUGGUGGGGUAAAGGCCUACCUAGGCGACGAUCCGUAACUGGUCUGAGAGGAUGAUCAGUCACACUGGAACUGAGGCACGGUCCAGACUCCUACGGGAGGCAGCAGUGGGGAAUAUUGGACAAUGGGCGAAAGCCUGAUCCAGCCAUGCCGCGUGUGUGAAGAAGGUCUUCGGAUUGUAAAGCACUUUAAGUUGGGAGGAAGGGCAGUAAGUUAAUACCUUGCUGUUUUGACGUUACCAACAGAAUAAGCACCGGCUAACUUCGUG